rnacentral:rRNA from 1 species
AGGAUUAACGCUGGCGGCGUGCAUGAGACAUGCAAGUCGAACGGACACUCGGAGCUUGCUCUGAGUGUUAGUGGCGGACGGCUGAGUAACGCGUAGGUGACCUGCCCCGAAGUGGGGAAUAACUGCCCGAAAGGGUGGCUAAUACCGCAUGUGGUGAUGCGUUCAUUCGCAUCAGUAAAGCCGCAAGGCGCUUCGGGGGACGGGCCUGCGUCCGAUUAGCUCGUUGGUGAGGUAACGGC